rnacentral:snRNA from 1 species
AUGCUUGCUUCAACAGCACAUAUACUAAAAUUGGAAUAAUAUAGGGAAAAUUAGUGUGGCCCCUGGAGAAAGAUGACA